rnacentral:rRNA from 1 species
UUAAGCGACUAAGCGUACACGGUGGAUGCCCUGGCAGUCAGAGGCGAUGAAGGACGUGCUAAUCUGCGAUAAGCGUCGGUAAGGUGAUAUGAACCGUUAUAACCGGCGAUUUCCGAAUGGGGAAACCCAGUGUGAUUCGUCACACUAUCAUUAACUGAAUCCAUAGGUUAAUGAGGCGAACCGGGGGAACUGAAACAUCUAAGUACCCCGAGGAAAAGAAAUCAACCGAGAUUCCCCCAGUAGCGGCGAGCGAACGGGGAGCAGCCCAGAGCCUGAAUCAGUGUGUGUGUUAGUGGAAGCGUCUGGAAAGGCGCGCGAUACAGGGUGACAGCCCCGUACACAAAAAUGCACAUNCUGUGAGCUCGAUGAGUAGGGCGGGACACGUGGUAUCCUGUCUGAAUAUGGGGGGACCAUCCUCCAAGGCUAAAUACUCCUGACUGACCGAUAGUGAACCAGUACCGUGAGGGAAAGGCGAAAAGAACCCCGGCGAGGGGAGUGAAAAAGAACCUGAAACCGUGUACGUACAAGCAGUGGGAGCACGCUUAGGCGUGUGACUGCGUACCUUUUGUAUAAUGGGUCAGCGACUUAUAUUCUGUAGCAAGGUUAACCGAAUAGGGGAGCCGAAGGGAAACCGAGUCUUAACUGGGCGUUAAGUUGCAGGGUAUAGACCCGAAACCCGGUGAUCUAGCCAUGGGCAGGUUGAAGGUUGGGUAACACUAACUGGAGGACCGAACCGACUAAUGUUGAAAAAUUAGCGGAUGACUUGUGGCUGGGGGUGAAAGGCCAAUCAAACCGGGAGAUAGCUGGUUCUCCCCGAAAGCUAUUUAGGUAGCGCCUCGUGAAUUCAUCUCCGGGGGUAGAGCACUGUUUCGGCAAGGGGGUCAUCCCGACUUACCAACCCGAUGCAAACUNNNNNNNNNNNNNNNNNNNNCGAAUACCGGAGAAUGUUAUCACGGGAGACACACGGCGGGUGCUAACGUCCGUCGUGAAGAGGGAAACAACCCAGACCGCCAGCUAAGGUCCCAAAGUCAUGGUUAAGUGGGAAACGAUGUGGGAAGGCCCAGACAGCCAGGAUGUUGGCUUAGAAGCAGCCAUCAUUUAAAGAAAGCGUAAUAGCUCACUGGUCGAGUCGGCCUGCGCGGAAGAUGUAACGGGGCUAAACCAUGCACCGAAGCUGCGGCAGCGACGCUGAUGCGUUGUUGGGUAGGGGAGCGUUCUGUAAGCCUGUGAAGGUGUACUGUGAGGUAUGCUGGAGGUAUCAGAAGUGCGAAUGCUGACAUAAGUAACGAUAAAGCGGGUGAAAAGCCCGCUCGCCGGAAGACCAAGGGUUCCUGUCCAACGUUAAUCGGGGCAGGGUGAGUCGACCCCUAAGGCGAGGCCGAAAGGCGUAGUCGAUGGGAAACAGGUUAAUAUUCCUGUACUUGGUGUUACUGCGAAGGGGGGACGGAGAAGGCUAUGUUGGCCGGGCGACGGUUGUCCCGGUUUAAGCGUGUAGGCUGGUUUUCCAGGCAAAUCCGGAAAAUCAAGGCUGAGGCGUGAUGACGAGGCACUACGGUGCUGAAGCAACAAAUGCCCUGCUUCCAGGAAAAGCCUCUAAGCAUCAGGUAACAUCAAAUCGUACCCCAAACCGACACAGGUGGUCAGGUAGAGAAUACCAAGGCGCUUGAGAGAACUCGGGUGAAGGAACUAGGCAAAAUGGUGCCGUAACUUCGGGAGAAGGCACGCUGAUAUGUAGGUGAAGCGACUUGCUCGUGGAGCUGAAAUCAGUCGAAGAUACCAGCUGGCUGCAACUGUUUAUUAAAAACACAGCACUGUGCAAACACGAAAGUGGACGUAUACGGUGUGACGCCUGCCCGGUGCCGGAAGGUUAAUUGAUGGGGUNNNNNNNNNNNNNNNNNNNNNNNNNNNNNNNNNNNNNNNNNNNNNNNAGCGCAAGCGAAGCUCUUGAUCGAAGCCCCGGUAAACGGCGGCCGUAACUAUAACGGUCCUAAGGUAGCGAAAUUCCUUGUCGGGUAAGUUCCGACCUGCACGAAUGGCGUAAUGAUGGCCAGGCUGUCUCCACCCGAGACUCAGUGAAAUUGAACUCGCUGUGAAGAUGCAGUGUACCCGCGGCAAGACGGAAAGACCCCGUGAACCUUUACUAUAGCUUGACACUGAACAUUGAGCCUUGAUGUGUAGGAUAGGUGGGAGGCUUUGAAGUGUGGACGCCAGUCUGCAUGGAGCCGACCUUGAAAUACCACCCUUUAAUGUUUGAUGUUCUAACGUGGACCCGUAAUCCGGGUUGCGGACAGUGUCUGGUGGGUAGUUUGACUGGGGCGGUCUCCUCCUAAAGAGUAACGGAGGAGCACGAAGGUUGGCUAAUCCUGGUCGGACAUCAGGAGGUUAGUGCAAUGGCAUAAGCCAGCUUGACUGCGAGCGUGACGGCGCGAGCAGGUGCGAAAGCAGGUCAUAGUGAUCCGGUGGUUCUGAAUGGAAGGGCCAUCGCUCAACGGAUAAAAGGUACUCCGGGGAUAACAGGCUGAUACCGCCCAAGAGUUCAUAUCGACGGCGGUGUUUGGCACCUCGAUGUCGGCUCAUCACAUCCUGGGGCUGAAGUAGGUCCCAAGGGUAUGGCUGUUCGCCAUUUAAAGUGGUACGCGAGCUGGGUUUAGAACGUCGUGAGACAGUUCGGUCCCUAUCUGCCGUGGGCGCUGGAGAA